rnacentral:lncRNA from 1 species
ACAUCUUCUUCUUCUUCCAUCACUUUCCAUUUUUUUUCUCUUCAAUCUUUCUUUUUUUCCUUUGAAAUAACAUCAAAGUCCAAAUACCAUUUUCCUCCAUAACAAGAAACAACAAACCCAACCCAUUUAGCAAAAUCAAAUACCCAAUAAGGAAGAUUGACGUAAGAAGGAGGGAGGUUGAUCUCUGUGGGUUUUUUUUGUUUUUUUUUUCUUGGUGCUGUUAAAAAAACUUCUACUUCCCCUUGUUGAGAAAAACAAAAAAGGAUCAAGCAUAGGGAAUAGUCAAAUUAUUAGGUCUAAAGAGGGGGGCCUCCACGGUGAGAGGACCUCCUUAUUUCAAAGCUUGCGAUCAAUCGAAGCACUUUGCCCCAGCUGCCAGCACAAGUAACCGCGUUGAAAAAGUUGGAAAGAUUGUUACGAUGUCC